rnacentral:rRNA from 1 species
CAGGACGAACGCUGGCGGCGUGCCUAACACAUGCAAGUCGAGCGAGGAGAGUCCUUCGGGAUGAUCCUAGCGGCGGACGGGUGAGUAACACGUGGGCAACCUGCCUCAUAGAGAGGAAUAGCCUUCCGAAAGGGAGAUUAAUACCUCAUAACAUUGCAGUUUCGCAUGGAACAGCAAUUAAAGGAGUAAUCCGCUAUGAGAUGGGCCCGCGGCGCAUUAGCUAGUUGGUGAGGUAACGGCUCACCAAGGCGACGAUGCGUAGCCGACCUGAGAGGGUGAUCGGCCACAUUGGGACUGAGACACGGCCCAGACUCCUACGGGAGGCAGCAGUGGGGAAUAUUGCACAAUGGGGGAAACCCUGAUGCAAGCAACGCCGCGUGAGUGAUGACGGCCUUCGGGUUGUAAAGCUCUGUCUUCAGGGACGAUAAUGACGGUACCUGAGGAGGAAGCCACGGCUAACUACGUGCCAGCAGCCGC